CGGUGAGGACAAGGUUCCUGCCGGUGAGGACAAGGUUCCUGGCUGUGAGGACAAGGUUCCUGGCGGUGAGGACAAGGUUCCUGCCGGUGAGGACAAGGUUCCUGGCGGUGUGGAGAAGGUUUCUGCCGGUGAGGACAAGGUUCCUGGCUGUGAGGACAAGGUUCCUGCCGGUGAGGACAAGGUUCCUUCCUGUGAGGACAAGGUUCCUGCCGGUGAGGACAAGGUUCCUGGCGGUGUGGACAAGGUUUCUGCUGGUGAGGACAAGGUUCCUGCCGUUGAGGACAAGGUUCCUGGCAGUGUGGACAAGGUUCCUGCCGGUGAGGACAAGGUUCCUGGCAGUGUGGACAAGGUUCCUGCCGGUGAGGACAAGGUUCCUGGCGGUGUGGACAAGGUUCCUGCCGGUGAGGACAAGGUUCCUGGCAGUGUGGACAAGGUUUCUGCCGGUGAGGACAAGGUUCCUGCCGGUGUGGACAAGGUUUCUGCCGGUGAGGACAAGGUUCCUGGCGGUGAGGACAAGGUUCCUGCCGGUGAGGACAAGGUUCCUGCCGGUGAGGACAAGGUUCCUGGCGGUGUGGACAAGGUUUCUGCUGGUGAGGACAAGGUUCCUGGCGGUGAGGACAAGGUUCCUGGCGGUGAGGACAAGGUUCCUGGCGGUGAGGACAAGGUUCCUGGCGGUGAGGACAAGGU
rnacentral:lncRNA from 1 species